GAAGUUGACCCCUGGAAGUUGGAGACCUUUCAAGGCAUGUAGUCGAGCCCGCGCAAGAGGUGAAGACUACUUAACUGUGUCCAACACUGGCCAACAACCAACCAACAACCUCACCUGCCUUUGUGGCCCUAGCAUUUAUAUACCCUCUAAAAAGUCCUCAGAAUUCCAAACAUUACACAACUGCAGAAGGCAUCUACAGCUGGAAAAAUCACACCCCUGCUGGAGCAUGAGAGACUCUUUUGUCGAAUGUUGAGUUUAUCUGUCUACGUGUUACUCCUUGGCUGAAACCGCUCAUAUUUUUGCUGUGGGGCCUCAAGCUAGACUUCCAAAGUCAUUUCCUGAUGAACAAGAUGUAGAACUCUCAACUACUCCACCAUGUCUGUCUGAAUACUGCCAUGCUUCUGGCCAUAAUGAUGAUGGACUGAACCCCUGAACCGAAUACAGAAAGAAGAGAAGAGAAGAGAAGAGAAGAGAAGAGAAGAGAAGAAGAAGAAGAAGAAGAAGAAGAAGAAGAAGAAGAAGAAGAGAAGAGAAGAGAAGAGAAGAGAAGAGAAGAGAAGAGAAGAGAAGAGAAGAGAAGAGAAGAGAAGAGAAGAAGAAGAGAAGAGAUCAUCUCUGGGAGCAGAGCAGGGGAUAUCCCAGUGGUAGCAGCCACAAUAAAUUUUUGCUAU
rnacentral:lncRNA from 1 species